GGCGGCGAGUGGCGAACGGGUGAGUAAUACAUCGGAACGUGCCCAAUCGUGGGGGAUAACGCAGCGAAAGCUGUGCUAAUACCGCAUACGAUCUACGGAUGAAAGCAGGGGAUCGCAAGACCUUGCGCGAAUGGAGCGGCCGAUGGCAGAUUAGGUAGUUGGUGAGGUAAAGGCUCACCAAGCCUUCGAUCUGUAGCUGGUCUGAGAGGACGACCAGCCACACUGGGACUGAGACACGGCCCAGACUCCUACGGGAGGCAGCAGUGGGGAAUUUUGGACAAUGGGCGAAAGCCUGAUCCAGCCAUGCCGCGUGCAGGAUGAAGGCCUUCGGGUUGUAAACUGCUUUUGUACGGAACGAAACGGUCUUUUCUAAUACAGAAGGCUAAUGACGGUACCGUAAGAAUAAGCACCGGCUAACUACGUGCCAGCAGCCGCGGUAAUACGUAGGGUGCAAGCGUUAAUCGGAAUUACUGGGCGUAAAGCGUGCGCAGGCGGUUAUGUAAGACAGUUGUGAAAUCCCCGGGCUCAACCUGGGAACUGCAUCUGUGACUGCAUAGCUAGAGUACGGUAGAGGGGGAUGGAAUUCCGCGUGUAGCAGUGAAAUGCGUAGAUAUGCGGAGGAACACCGA
rnacentral:rRNA from 1 species